GGUGGCGACAGAUGCUAAUCUGUACGGAAAGUCAUUAUCUGCGUUUCCUGGGCCAUUAGACUAAUGUUAAGGGAUAACACAGAGAAGUGGAUGAGACCUGACGCUAACAGGAGCUAAUCAUCGAGACCACCUCUCACUCUGAGUCUUGGCUUCAUUUCAAAGCCAACCUGACGGAUGGCGGCCCGGCCAGAAAGCGAAGGGAGGGCCGGGUAUGACUGAAGAAAGUCUGAAGAAAUAUGGCUCAUUAGAAAAGCAGACAGCAGGGCCAAGCAGACACACGCCUGUCACCUCUCCACUCCCACCGGAGACCUUGAUGAGACAAAGAUAAAAGAAAGAUGAACGGAGAGAUGGUCGGACAGAAAGAGCAGGAUGAGACGGAAGGUGGGACCCCAGGUUUUGAUCAGGAGAAGAGAAGCCAAGCCAAACGGCUAGACUGUUUUCUCUGAUGGAAACACAAUGGGGAAACAGGGAGGAGCAGGAGGGUGUGUGAAAAUAAAUCUGCCUAGAAACAGUAUUUUGGUAGGAGUAGAGUGCACAGAGAAAAAAA